rnacentral:lncRNA from 1 species
CAGCGGGAGAGUCGCCGAAGACCGGCCGCUGCGGGUUCUCCUCGUUCGCCCUCUCCCUCUCAACAAACCUAAAGCCUCGGAACCCGCAAAGCCGUAAGCUCCUUUCGUGCACAACAACCCUUCGCAGAAUCCCGGCGCUGCAGCCACGAACAGGAACACGGACGUCCCGCCCCUUUGGCCGCCGCCCCCUCUUAUUGUUUUACCCCUGCUGAAAGGGCCAGGGAACCCCCCAGCACAACGCCAGCCAAUCACGAAUCUCCUUUGAACUCCGGACCCAACCUCCUCGCGUCCCUGCGCGGAGCACGCGCAGUGCGCCACCGCACUCGCGGACUCUCGCGCCGGAAAGCCGGGCGCCUCAACCGAGCUGCAGCCGGCGGGGGCGCUGAUCUGACGUCACAGGGGCGGCCGCUCCCGCCCCGCACGCACGGUGCCACACCUCUGCGCAGCGGCGUUCCGGGCCUCCGCGAACGCGCACGGGGGUCAGCGAUGUGCAGGUGCCCAGUCGCGCUCCGGCAGCCGUUGUCUUCACCUGUGCACGCUAGUAAUCCGUUCUGGGGAAGAGGAUCAGGUCGUGUGAAUCUCUUACAGAAAUGUAUCCCGGGGCUGCCGAAGCUAGGCCAGCUAGGCUCUGGGCUGCGGGAAAGCCACUACUCGGCUCCACGGACAGAGGACUUCUUGAUGCUCCGUGUAACCCUAGGGUACAGCCAACCUCUCCUCAUUAGUGUCAGCAUCAACCCUGUGUCCAGUCAAUGCUUCUUCUGGGUGACUGCAGAAACUUCCUGCAGGGUCAGCGUGUGAGGUGGGAACCUCCUUGGGACCAAGAUGCAAUCCCCAACCCUAGAGCAUGACCCUAAACUGCCCCAGGUCUUGGAGGCUCCCUGUGAAGGGAAUGGAGCUGCGAGUUGCUGCUCAGGAGUGAACUCUGCACAGGAAAGCAGGCCAGGGAAGAGAUGGCCAUAAAGCAGUCAUAUCUGAG